AGAGCGAACGCUGGCGGCAGGCUUAACACAUGCAAGUCGAGCGGGCGUAGCAAUACGUCAGCGGCAGACGGGUGAGUAACGCGUGGGAACAUACCUUUUGGUUCGGAACAACACAGGGAAACUUGUGCUAAUACCGGAUAAGCCCUUACGGGGAAAGAUUUAUCGCCGAAAGAUUGGCCCGCGUCUGAUUAGCUAGUUGGUGAGGUAACGGCUCACCAAGGCGACGAUCAGUAGCUGGUCUGAGAGGAUGAUCAGCCACAUUGGGACUGAGACACGGCCCAAACUCCUACGGGAGGCAGCAGUGGGGAAUAUUGGACAAUGGGCGCAAGCCUGAUCCAGCCAUGCCGCGUGAGUGAUGAAGGCCCUAGGUUGUAAAGCUCUUUGUGCGGGAAGAUAAUGACGGUACCGCAAGAAUAAGCCCCGGCUAACUUCGCGCCAGCAGCCGC
rnacentral:rRNA from 1 species